AUUGAACGCUGGCGGCAGGCCUAACACAUGCCAGUCGAGCGGAUGAAGGGAGCUUGCUCCUGGAUUCAGCGGCGGACGGGUGAGUAAUGCCUAGGAAUCUGCCUGGUAGUGGGGGAUAACGUCCGGAAACGGGCGCUAAUACCGCAUACGUCCUGAGGGAGAAAGUGGGGGGUCUUCGGACCUCACGCUAUCAGAUGAGCCUAGGUCGGAUUAGCUAGUUGGUGGGGUAAAGGCCUACCAAGGCGACGAUCCGUAACUGGUCUGAGAGGAUGAUCAGUCAAAUGGGAACGGAGAACCGGCCCAACCCCCUACGGGAGGCAGCGGGGGGGAAUUUUGGAAAAGGGGGGAAAGCCUAAUCCAGCCAUGCCGGGGGUGGGAAAAAGGGUUUCGGAUUGUAAAGCACUUUAAGUUGGGAGGAAGGGCAGUAAGUUAAAACCUUGCUGUUUUGACGUUACCAAAAGAAUAAGCACCGGCUAACUUCGU
rnacentral:rRNA from 1 species